rnacentral:sRNA from 1 species
GCUGGGUGUGGUGACAUACACCUGUAAUCCCAGCAACUUGGGAGGCAGAGGCAGGAGGAUAUUGAGUGAAGCCAGCCUCAGCAAUUUAGCAAGGUGCUAAGCAACUCAGUGAGACCCUGUCUCUA